rnacentral:rRNA from 1 species
AACGCUAGCUACAGGCUUAACACAUGCAAGUCGAGGGGCAGCAUUGGAGUAGCAAUACUUCAGAUGGCGACCGGCGCACGGGUGAGUAACACGUAUCCAACCUGCCGCUUACUCGGGGAUAGCCUUUCGAAAGAAAGAUUAAUACCCGAUGGUAUAAAGAGUUCGCAUGUUCUCUUUAUUAAAGAAUUUCGGUAAGCGAUGGGGAUGCGUUCCAUUAGAUAGUUGGCGGGGUAACGGCCCACCAAGUCUACGAUGGAUAGGGGUUCUGAGAGGAAGGUCCCCCACAUUGGAACUGAGACACGGUCCAAACUCCUACGGGAGGCAGCAGUGAGGAAUAUUGGUCAAUGGGCGCUAGCCUGAACCAGCCAAGUAGCGUGAAGGAUGAAGGCUCUAUGGGUCGUAAACUUCUUUUAUAUAAGAAUAAAGUGCAGUAUGUAUACUGUUUUGUAUGUAUUAUAUGAAUAAGGAUCGGCUAACUCCGUGCCAGCAGCCGCGGUAAUACGGAGGAUUCGAGCGUUAUCCGGAUUUAUUGGGUUUAAAGGGAGCGUAAGUGGACUGGUAAGUCAGUUGUGAAAGUUUGCGGCUCAACCGUAAAAUUGCAGUUGAUACUGUCAGUCUUGAGUACAGUAGAGGUGGGCGGAAUUCGUGGUGUAGCGGUGAAAUGCUUAGAUAUCACGAAGAACUCCGAUUG